GGCGUGGGUACCAUGGCAACGGAGAGGGCCUGCGUCUCGGGUUCCGGAAGCCGGAGAGAGCUGGUGCUUUGAAGCUACCUGGGUCAAAGGAUGCUGAGUCCCGAGCGUCUAGCCCUACCGGACUACGAGUAUCUGGCUCAGCGACAUGUGCUCACAUACAUGGAGGAUGCAGUAUGCCAGCUGCUAGAGAACAAGGAGGAUAUUAGUCAAUAUGGCAUUGCCAGGUUCUUCACUGAAUAUUUUAACAGUGUAUGCCAAGGAACUCACAUUCUCUUUCGGGAAUUCAGCUUCAUCCAAGCCACCCCCCACAAUAGAGCAUCGUUUUUACGGGCCUUCUGGAGGUGCUUCCGAACUGUAGGCAAAAAUGGUGAUUUGCUGACCAUGAAAGAAUAUCACUGUUUGCUGCAAUUACUGUGCCCCGAUUUCCCACUGGAGCUUACUCAGAAAGCAGCCAGGAUUGUGCUUAUGGAUGAUGCCAUGGACUGCUUGAUGUCUUUUUCAGAUUUCCUUUUUGCCUUCCAGAUCCAGUUUUACUACUCAGAAUUCCUGGACAGUGUGGCCACCAUCUAUCAGGACCUAUUAUCAGGCAAGAACCCCAAUACAGUGAUUGUGCCAACAUCAUCCAGUGGGCAACACCGCCAGCGACCUGCCCUGGGCGAGGCCAGCAUGGAGGGAGUGGAGGCAUCGCUCUUCUACCAGUGCCUGGAAAACCUGUGUGACCGGCACAAGUACAGCUGCCCACCCCCGGCACUUGUCAAAGAAAUCCUAAGCAACGUUCAGAGACUGACCUUUUAUGGAUUCCUUGUGGCUCUCUCAAAGCAUCAUGGGAUCAACCAAGCCCUAGGAGCUUUGCCUGACAAAGGGGAUCUGAUGCAUGACCCAGCCAUGGACGAGGAGCUGGAACGGCUGCUGGUCCAGGUCCCAGGUCUGGUCAACUCAAUCACUGCCAGUCCAGAGGCCAGCUGCCUGCCUUCUCGGACCCCUCCUCGGGUUCGAUCCCCCUGGAGACCCCUCCAUCACUCCCGAAAAGUGGAUGCAGAGAGCGAUGGCUCCACUGAAGAGACAGAUGAGUCCGAGACUUGAGGAGUCUGAGGGUCCUGCCUGCAGCACCCUUACCCUGCCCCAUGCCAGUCCUUGGUGCUCCCAUCCAGCCUCCUCUCCAGCACUCUGCCAUGCUGCCCUCUGCUGGCAAAAAGGCUGAGUAACAGCCCCAGCCCAAAGACCUGCCAGAGAGGUGCUGAUCUGCCAAGCCAAACAGUGACACUAGAAAGUUAACACCCUGCUCUCCUGGGCCCUGUCAACCUUGGAGCAUGCCAAGCCCCAGGUUGACAGACUGUACUGAAACCACUUCAUCACCACGGAGGGGACUUGACCUUAGCCUUUUGUUAAUAGGCCUAACCUCUUAAGGAAAAGCAGUCUCAACCAACCUUUGCUAGCCCCGAUAAGGUUCAUUUCACAGCAACUUCCUUAAGGGGGAGAACAUGAAUAGCCAUGCAAGGCUUUGCAUGGUCAAGGGUGACGCUGGAGAUCCAAAUACUGGCAGGACAUAACCACUGUGGCCUUCUGCUGGAGGAACAGCCAGUAGCUAUGGUAGGAUGGAGAAGGGUGGGCAAAAAGACACUUUCACUUUCAAAACCUGCUUCAAGUCUCCUCUGUGUCUAAGAGUUUAAUACAUGAAAUUACUAAAGUCUCUUGUGUUGGGUAAAUGGUUGCGUCUAAAGCCACUAGGCUGGCUCAGCGCCCAUAGCUCAGUGGUUAGGGCACUGGCCACAUAUACCAGAGCUGGCAGGUUCAAAUCCGGCCCAGGCCUGCUAAACAAUGACAACUGCAACAAAAAAUAGCCGGGCAGGCGGCGCCUGUGGCUCAAAGGAGUAGGGUGCUGGCCCCAUACGCUGGAGGUGGCAGGUUCAAACCCAGCCCCAGCCAUAAAAAACUGCAAAGAAAAAAAUAGCUGGGUGUUGUGGCGGGCACCUAUAGUCCCAGCUAGUUGGGAGGCUGAGGCAAGAGAAUCACUUAAGCCCAAGAGUUUAAGGUUGCUGUGAGUUGUGAUGCCACAAUACUCUACCAAGGACAAUAUAGUGAGACUUUCUCAAAAAAAAUAAAGCCACUAGACUGAGGAGGUGUAGAGAAAGGGGUGAGUUCGAGGGUUUGGUGCCUAUUUGGAAGGGGCAGGAGGUGGAAGCCAGUGGCCCACUCAAACCUGGAGACCUGCCUCACAUACUGAGCAGCUGAGAUCAACCUGAUAAGAUGCUUACAGCUGGAACAGGCCUUCUGGAAAUAAGCUCAGAAGGUUCAAUGCCAACUUCCCAUAACUUUAAAGACCCUGACCACAAAGAGUUAGCAUAGCCGUCUAGCCAGGGUUUCAUUAAACAUUUGCCAGUCACCUACUUGGCAGGGGGGAGUAUGCCAACCAUCUGCAGACAUCCUCAAAAAUUUUUUUUUUUUUUCAGACAGAGUCUCACUGUACCGCCCUCGGUAGAGUGCCGUGGCGUCACACGGCUCACAGCAACCUCCAACUCUUGGGCUUACGCGAUUCUCUUGCCUCAGCCACCCGAGCAGCUGGGACCACAGGCGCCCGCCACAGCGCCCGGCUAUUUUUUUGUUGCAGUUUGGCCAGGGCCGGGUUUGAACCCACCACCCUUGGCAUAUGGGGCCGGCGCCCUACUCACUGAGCCACAGGCGCCGCCCAUGUUAACUAUUUUUUUAAACUCCAUUCAGAAACACAUCCCCCAGUCAAGCUACUAUAUUGUGAAGAGGGGCAGGGCUGUUGAGCUCCUAAUACUGGCUCUUUUCUC